UACGGAAGGCAGCAGUGGGGAAUAUUGCACAAUGGGCGCAAGCCUGAUGCAGCCAUGCCGCGUGUAUGAAGAAGGCCUUCGGGUUGUAAAGUGCUUUCAGUCGUGAGGAAGGUGUUAAGGUUAAUAACCUUAGCAAUUGACGUUAGCGACAGAAGAAGCACCGGCUAACUCCGUGCCAGCAGCCGCGGUAAUACGGAGGGUGCGAGCGUUAAUCGGAAUUACUGGGCGUAAAGGGCACGCAGGCGGUUAAUUAAGUUGGAUGUGAAAUCCCCGGGCUUAACCUGGGAAUGGCAUUCAAGACUGGUUAGCUAGAGUCUUGUAGAGGGGGUAGAAUUCCAUGUGUAGCGGUGAAAUGCGUAGAGAUGUGGAGGAAUACCGGUGGCGAAGCGGCCCCUGGGACAAGACUGACGCUCAUGUGCGAAAGCGUGGGGAGCAAACAGGAUUAGGAUACC
rnacentral:rRNA from 1 species